AAGACCUUGCGCUUUUGGAGCGGCCGAUGUCUGAUUAGCUAGUUGGUGGGGUAAUGGCCUACCAAAGCUUCGAUCAGUAGCUGGUCUGAGAGGACGGCCAGCCACACUGGGACUGAGACACGGCCCAGACUCCUACGGGAGGCAGCAGUGGGGAAUUUUGGACAAUGGGCGCRAGCCUGAUCCAGCCAUGCCGCGUGAGUGAAGAAGGCCUUCGGGUUGUAAAGCUCUUUCAGCCGGGAAGAAAAGGCUGCGACUAAUAAUCGCAGUUCAUGACGGUACCGGAAGAAGAAGCACCGGCUAACUACGUGCCAGCAGCCGCGGUAAUACGUAGGGUGCGAGCGUUAAUCGGAAUUACUGGGCGUAAAGGGUGCGCAGGCGGUUUUGUAAGUCAGAUGUGAAAUCCCCGGGCUUAACCUGGGAACU
rnacentral:rRNA from 1 species